AUUGAACGCUGGCGGUAGGCUUAACACAUGCAAGUCGAACGGUAGCAGCUCUAGCUUGCUAGAGGCUGACGAGUGGCGGACGGGUGAGUAACGCGUAGGAAUCUACCUAAUAGUGGGGGACAACCUGGUGAAAACCAGGCUAAUACCGCAUACGCCUACGGGGAAAGCGGGGAGUCUUCGGACCUCGCGCUAUUAGAUGAGCCUGCGUUAGAUUAGCUAGUUGGUGGGGUAAAGGCUCACCAAGGCGACGAUCUAUAGCUGGUCUGAGAGGAUGAUCAGCCACACUGGGACUGAGACACGGCCCAGACUCCUACGGGAGGCAGCAGUGGGGAAUAUUGCGCAAUGGGCGAAAGCCUGACGCAGCCAUACCGCGUGUGUGAAGAAGGGUUUAGGCUCGUAAAGCACUUUAAGUAGGGAGGAAGGCCUAAAGUUUAAUACGCUUUAGGAUUGACGUUACCUACAGAAUAAGCACCGGCUAACUCCGUGCCAGCAGCCGCGGUAAAG
rnacentral:rRNA from 1 species